GAUGAACGCUGGCGGCGUGCUUAACACAUGCAAGUCGAACGGAAAGGCCCAAGCUUGCUUGGGUACUCGAGUGGCGAACGGGUGAGUAACACGUGGGUGAUCUGCCCUGCACUUCGGGAUAAGCCUGGGAAACUGGGUCUAAUACCGGAUAGGACCACUUCUUGGAUGUUGUGGUGGAAAGUUUUCUCGGUGUGGGAUGAGCUCGCGGCCUAUCAGCUUGUUGGUGGGGUAAUGGCCUACCAAGGCGUCGACGGGUAGCCGGCCUGAGAGGGUGUACGGCCACAUUGGGACUGAGAUACGGCCCAGACUCCUACGGGAGGCAGCAGUGGGGAAUAUUGCACAAUGGGUGCAAGCCUGAUGCAGCGACGCCGCGUGGGGGAUGACGGCCUUCGGGUUGUAAACUCCUUUCGCUAGGGACGAAGCGUUUUUGUGACGGUACCUGGAGAAGAAGCACCGGCUAACUACGUG
rnacentral:rRNA from 1 species